AUCUUCUUGGGAUGCAGGUUCAAUUCCCAGCAUCUGCAGGUAGGGCUGGGAGACAUUCCUGUCCAAAACUGGGGAGAGAUGCUGCAGGUCAAUCUAGGCAGUACAGAGCUAGAUGGACCAGUUGUCUGGUUCAGUAUGAGACAGCUUGCUAUGUUCUUGUUCCUAUGCUGGGUUUGAUCCAGAAGAGCUCUGCUCAGAGAGGGCAUCGCUCAGUGGUAGGGCAUAUGCUUUGAGUGCAGAUUCCCCAGUAGACUGGGCUGGGAAUGCCCCCUGUCUGAAAUCCUGGAGAUCUACAGGUGCUGUAACUCUCCAAUGGUUUGACUUCACCCUUGAAGGCACGCUCUUCCAUUGUCUCCCAAAACAGAUGUAUGCCAAUAACAACUUCUGGUCAGUGAUGAUGAUACUGAGCUAAGUGGACUGGUGGGGUCACUGGUGCUUGUCAAGAGGAAGAAGGGAAGGACAAGACACGGGAAGCUUGGCCCAGGGUACUGCAGUGGCUCAGCUCUGUUAAUAUGCACCAUGUAUAGCUAAGCUCCUUGUACCUUGCAACUCCCCUCUCUAUAAGCACCAGAGACUUUCUGUCUUUGGGAAGUGUCAGGAGAGCAAGGAUACCCUAUCAGCACCACCUCACUGCUAUUGCCAAGGUGUGUAUGCCUCCCAUUCUCUAUUCAACCACUGCUAAGAGCAGCAAAAAACUUAGUAAUGACUGGGUGGGAAGGAAGGAGGUCUGUUUAAGGUUUUAUCAGAUUCUGGCAAGAUCCAAACUAGGUUCAGAAUUAGUCUCAGAACCAAGCUAUCUACUCUAUCAUCUACCUACCUGCCUACCUACCUACCUACUUGUCUCGGGAAAAUAAUUUGGCUUCUAAGUGGGCAUAAUCUAUACUGAGGGCAUAAUCUACACCACUAGACGCUAUCUCAUAGAGUUGCCACCAAAAAUUUGCUUGAAGCAACAUUUGAAGGAUCUCACAGUGUCCCUGAAUCCAAAUUUCUCGCAGGGGGUUGAGAGUUCUGGUGAGGUUAUACAACUUCUCAGAGAAGCUUCCCCUCAUAAGUCACUAGAUUUUCAACUAUGACUAUAUGAAAUGAAUGCAGGGGUUCCUUUUGUAAGGAUUAUUUUAUUUUAUUUUAUUGCAGGGAGGGGGUGAGAGAUGAAAAAUGGGUGUUGGAUAAACUCGUGAGAUUUUUGUUGUUGCUGCUGCUGCUCUCCAGAGAAAUUUCACACAUCCCCUGCUCUUGGGGGAAUUUUCCUACUCUCUGGACUUUGAGAAUGUGGCAUUGCGAAGGAAAGUGCAGGUGACAUUAAUUCAUGUGUUUAUGUAAGAGGUAAGUGAAAAUCCAAGGGCAUGACGGGGCCAGGCUGCGCUUGGAUACUCAGCGGUGUGCAAAAUAAUUUAGUUGG